AUCUCUGAUGCAUUACGCGUACGUACACGUGAUAACCUCGAAGUUGUAACGAUAGCGUUGAACGUACGUACAUAGCGAACAAUUACCAUUUACCGAAGGAUUUUCGCUUACCUUGCUGUCCGUAAUCGACGAACUUUUCACUUGCUAUUUGUUAUUCGGCGAUCAACGAUAUAUGUGGUGAUUGUUGAUAUACGUGAAGAAGUGAGUGCGCACGCGCGCGCGCGCGAUCCGAAAGGCCGCGAUGACGAGUUACGAACGCUUGGUUAUUGCCGACGAGAAGCCUGGCGCCGUCUGCGAGACGAUAUGCUGGCAUCGUUUUGCGGAAAAGGUAGAGACAUCCUGUACGUUAAUUAAUUACCAUUUACUUUUAAAACGAAGUUAAGGAAUAGUAUUAUAUUAUACUUUUAUCGUGUAAUAAUAAUCUAUGUAGGAUUUUUAAGCUUUGUUUCCUUUCAGUAUCUUUAUAUGAAAUUUGAAUAAAUUUUCCUGCAGAAGAUCUACUUUCCACUAACUUUCACCUUGUAUCGCUAAUAUAAACGUUUCAUAAAAAUAUUCGAUUGCCAUUGUAGAUCGUGAAUUCUAACCAAUAUAGAUAUACAUUCGAUUACACGUAUUUCCUAUUUAUUCUGAAUAUCAUUUAUCUAAAGAUCAUUCCUUGAGUAUAUCGAUAUCACUUACAUAUAUUAUCUGUUCUUAAAACGUUGUAAUUGUAAGUGAGAUGCUUUAUCGUCAUAUAAG
rnacentral:misc_RNA from 1 species